AUGUCAUGAAAAGGGCAGUUUCAUAAUAACUCACUGAACUGCUCCCAUGCCUUAUAUAAAGAUUCUUCAUCAAGUUGCUAAAAUAAAGUGAUUUCAUUUUAAAUAU
rfam:Gossypium arboreum cultivar AKA8401 contig_12238_9, whole genome shotgun sequence.